GACGAACGCUGGCGGCGUGCCUAAUACAUGCAAGUAGAACGCUGAAGGGGGAGCUUGCUUCUCUGGAUGAGUUGCGCACGGGUGAGUAACGCGUAUGUAACCUGCCUGUUAGCGGGGGAUAACUCUUGGAAACGCUAGCUAUUACCGCAUAAUAGUAGAUGUUGCAUGUCAUUUGCUUAAAAGGUGCAAUUUCAUCACUACCUGAUGAACCGGCGUUGUUUUAGCUAGUUGUUGAGGUAACGGCUCACCAAGACGACGAUGAAUAGCCGACCUGAGAGGGGGAUCGGCAACACUGGAACUGAGACACGGCCCAGACUCCUACGGGGGCAGCAGUAGGGAAUCCUUGGCAAUGGAGCGAAGUCUGACCGGGCAACGGCGCGGGAGGGAAGAAGGUUUUCGGAUCGUAAAGCUCUGUUGUAAGGGAAGAAAGAGUGUGGGAGUGGAAAGUUCACACUGUGACGGUAUCUAACCAGAAGGGGACGGCUAACUACGUG
rnacentral:rRNA from 1 species